AGUUGGGCACUCUAGAGAGACUGCCAGGGAUAACCUGGAGGAAGGUGGGGAUGACGUCAAAUCAUCAUGCCCCUUAUGCUUAGGGCUACACACGUGCUACAAUGGGUAGUACAGAGGGUUGCCAAGCCGUAAGGUGGAGCUAAUCCCUUAAAGCUACUCUCAGUUCGGAUUGUAGGCUGAAACUCGCCUACAUGAAGCUGGAGUUACUAGUAAUCGCAGAUCAGAAUGCUGCGGGGAAUGCGUUCCCGGGUCUUGUACACACCGCCCGUCACACCACGGGAGUUGGAGACGCCCGAAGCCGA
rnacentral:rRNA from 1 species